rnacentral:rRNA from 1 species
GAUGAACGCUGGCGGCGUGCCUAACACAUGCAAGUCGAGCGAUUUACUUCGGUAAAGAGCGGCGGACGGGUGAGUAACGCGUGGGUAACCUGCCCUAUACACACGGAUAACAUACCGAAAGGUAUGCUAAUACGGGAUAAUAUAAGAGAUUCGCAUGGAUUUCUUAUCAAAGCUGAGGCGGUAUAGGAUGGACCCGCGUCUGAUUAGCUAGUUGGUAAGGUAACGGCUUACCAAGGCGACGAUCAGUAGCCGACCUGAGAGGGUGAUCGGCCAAAUUGGAACUGAGACACGGUCCAAACUCCUACGGGAGGCAGCAGUGGGGAAUAUUGCACAAUGGGCGAAAGCCUGAUGCAGCAACGCCGCGUGAGUGAUGAAGGCCUUCGGGUCGUAAAACUCUGUCCUCAAGGAAGAUAAUGACGGUACUUGAGGAGGAAGCCCCGGCUAACUACGUGCCAGCCGCCGCCGUAAAAC